GUGCCAGCCGCCGCGGUAAUACAGAGGGUGCAAACGUUGUUCGGAAUUACUGGGCGUAAAGCGCGUGUAGGCGGCCUCGUGUGUCGGGCGUGAAAUCCCAUGGCUUAACCGUGGAAGUGCACUCGAAACUGCGAGGCUUGAGUACUGGAGAGGAUGGUGGAAUGCUCGGUGUAGAGGUGAAAUUCGUAGAUAUCGAGCGGAACACCGGUGGCGAAGGCGGCCAUCUGGACAGUCACUGACGCUGAGACGCGAAAGCGUGGGGAGCAAACAGGAUUAGAUACCCCGGUAGUCC
rnacentral:rRNA from 1 species